rnacentral:rRNA from 1 species
UACGUAGGGGGCGAGCGUUGUCCGGAUUUAUUGGGCGUAAAGGGCGCGUAGGCGGUUUCUUAAGUUUGAAGUGACAGUGGGUGGCUUAACUACCCAAGGCCUUUGAAAACUGGGGAACUUGAGGACCAGAGAGGGACAUAGAAUUCCGGGUGGAGUGGUGAAAUGCGUAGAUAUCCGGAGGAAUACCAAAGGCGAAGGCAGUGUCUUGGAGGGUUAACUGACGCUGAGGCGCGAAAGCUAGGGGAGCGAACAGG